rnacentral:rRNA from 1 species
UGGGGAAUUUUCCGCAAUGGGCGAAAGCCUGACGGAGCAACGCCGCGUGAGGGAGGAAUGUCUUUGGAUUGUAAACCUCUUUUCUCAAGGAAGAUAAUGACGGUACUUGAGGAAUCAGCAUCGGCUAACUCCGUGCCAGCAGCCGCGGUAAUACGGGGGAUGCAAGCGUUAUCCGGAAUUAUUGGGCGUAAAGCGUCCGUAGGCGGCCAUUCAAGUCUGCUGUUAAAGCGUGCAGCUUAACUGCAUUCCGGCAGUGGAUACUGAAUGGCUUGAGUUUGGUAGGGGUAGAGGGAAUUCCCGGUGUAGCGGUGAAAUGCGUAGAUAUCGGGAAGAACACCAGUGGCGAAGGCGCUCUCCUGGGCCAUAACAGACGCUGAUGGACGAAAGCUAGGGGAGCGAAAGGGAUUAGAUACCCCCGUAGUCC